rnacentral:lncRNA from 1 species
ACUUGAAGCAGGCGGUGGAGGAGCAGUAGGAGGAGGAGAUUGUGGUGGAGGAUUUGGGUUAAUGUUAGGAGGAGGUGUAGAAGUAGGGUCGACAGUUGGUGGGCUGGGUGGUGGGUUAGGAGUAGGGAUGGAGCUUGGUGGUGGGAUAGGGGUAGGGUUGGAUGUAGGCGAAGUGGGCUGGUUAGAUCCAAUGGCGGGAGGAGGGAGGUUGGAAGAGGAAGAGGCUGGUGGUGUAUUAGG